GAACGGUAACAGAAAGCAGCUUGCUGCUUUGCUGACGAGUGGCGGACGGGUGAGUAAUGUCUGGGAAACUGCCUGAUGGAGGGGGAUAACUACUGGAAACGGUAGCUAAUACCGCAUAACGUCGCAAGACCAAAGAGGGGGACCUUCGGGCCUCUUGCCAUCGGAUGUGCCCAGAUGGGAUUAGCUAGUAGGUGGGGUAACGGCUCACCUAGGCGACGAUCCCUAGCUGGUCUGAGAGGAUGACCAGCCACACUGGAACUGAGACACGGUCCAGACUCCUACGGGAGGCAGCAGUGGGGAAUAUUGCACAAUGGGCGCAAGCCUGAUGCAGCCAUGCCGCGUGUAUGAAGAAGGCCUUCGGGUUGUAAAGUACUUUCAGCGGGGAGGAAGGGAGUAAAGUUAAUACCUUUGCUCAUUGACGUUACCCGCAGAAGAAGCACCGGCUAACUCCGUGCCAGCAGCCGCGGUAAUACGGAGGGUGCAAGCGUUAAUCGGAAUUACUGGGCGUAAAGCGCACGCAGGCGGUUUGUUAAGUCAGAUGUGAAAUCCCCGGGCUCAACCUGGGAACUGCAUCUGAUACUGGCAAGCUUGAGUCUCGUAGAGGGGGGUAGAAUUCCAGGUGUAGCGGUGAAAUGCGUAGAGAUCUGGAGGAAUACCGGUGGCGAAGGCGGCCCCCUG
rnacentral:rRNA from 1 species